GAACUUACCUUUAUAUUAUCUAAAGUUCGAACACGACCAGAAUGUGCGUGUCUACACAUACAAAAGAAACACGUAAAAAAUUACAGCGUUAACGCGAACAAACAGUGCGUGUUGACGCGGUCAAAAAUCACGCGUUUCGUUUAAGGAAUAUUGGCACCGUCCAACAUUAACACGCACAGUUUGUACGCGUAAAUACGAAGUAUAUGUUCGGGUGUCGCGUCAGACCGCACAACAGCCAAUAGCGUUGCUCUAUUUAGGAUUUCAUUUGCAUUUGUGAUGCGAUGGCACGUUGCUGUAUACGUCAGACGACAUUUCUUUCCGUGAGGGAUGAUGUGCUGUUAGAAUGCAGACAAUGGCCAGAUGUGUGGCAUGAUCUAGAGUGCAACUACUUGAUCCAGAAACGGCAAAUAGUAUCCUGAAUAGUCUGUCUGAAUUCAUGGAUAUUCUGGAAACAUUGCCUCAACCGCAAGUUCCCCAGGCUUACAGUGCUCCAUUGGUGAGGGUUUCUCUGGUCGACCACAAUAUUCCAUUACACAGGAGCAGUUCUGUGAAAUUAUUUGUUCAUGGCAGUACUAAAUUAAAACAAAUCUUCAAAAUUACACUUAUUUGUGUGAACAUUUUUUUAAUAUUCUGCAAGGUGUUUGUAAAGUUUUGACCACCAUAUCAUGCAAAAAUAUAUAAUAAACCCCACACAUUUAUUCUUGUUUUUAAUAUUCUCUUCAAAGCAAGCUAAAAGUUUUGAAGCUAAUGAGGGUGAAAGAUGUUUAUGGGCUGUUCAUCUGCUUUCUGAGUAAGUAGAAGGGUCUCUUUAAUGCCCCAUAACCACGACUUUAAUUGUGCCAUUAUACACAGCCUUGUCCACAUAUGUGCAUAUUAUAAUGGUUUCAUUGAACAAGCAUGAAAAGUUGAAACCCUUUUUAUUAAAGAUCUGUAAAAAAUGUGUAUAGUUGAAAACAUUUAUCUAAAAAUUCAUGUUAAAACUUAUAUAAGACAUGAGUGAUGUAAUA